rnacentral:lncRNA from 1 species
GUAGUGGUGGGUGCUACUUGUCAGCCACACCAAAUUGGAUGGUGGUGUCCUACACUAAUCAUGGGGGGCAAUUUGCAGAAGACAGGUAACUGGAGCAGAUCCCUGGAAGAGUUAAACCCGAAGGAAGAAGCCUGCAUACCAGAGAAUGCCAACAAUCAACUGCCAGCCGAAACAUCUGAACAGCCAGGCCCAGAUGCCAACAGACAAAGAGAAAUGGAGUGCUCCAGUCACCUAACAGUCAGGAAGAAUAACAAAGACAAACUAGUGAAAGAUGAUAAAACACUUAGGAAGAAACCAGGAAGAAACAACUUUCAGUUGCCACCCGCCUGCCCAAGAAACUAUAAGAGAACAGUAAGACCAACAAUAUUUUUAUGUUCUCACAAGACAAAUAAUGCAAAGAAUAAAACCCACCAUAGCCAAAACAAAAAACGUUGGGAUAUGAAACCAUUCCAAGUGACCUCCUGUGGAUCGAGAAAGUGUGAAGCCUGGGUUAGAAACUUAGAACAAGCUACAGCAGUUUUAGAAUUAAAUGUGGAGAAAAGAAAAGACAUUUGAGAUCACAUCUAGAGCCAACAAGUUGUGUGCCAGUUGGCAGUUGAAAUAAAACAUUCAAGAUGUGGGAAAAAAUAAAUUAUAGUGGUAUAAAAAAGUAGAACUAAUAGGUUCUCCUCUAGGAUUCAUAACCUUACCUGCUAUUGCCCUUGUCUUCCCCCAAGAACUUGAAGAGGAGACUUCUAAUCCACCAAUAAUCAUCCUGAAAUAAUCAUUAUGCUGCCCCUGUUGUAUAUGUGGUUUUACUGUGACACAGCAAUCAUCAUUGCAGUUCAAGGUACAUUGUUUGGCAGAGGCAUUUAUACCUUCAAGAAGAACUCUUCAUUCUCCUCUUUAAAGUCUGAUGAAAGCUUGUUCUGGAAAACCUUCAAAAUCAGGAAAUAAAGCUUCAUAUGCUAUCC